rnacentral:rRNA from 1 species
CAGUAGCCGCGGUAACACGAAGGGUGCAAGCGUUAAUCGGAAUUACUGGGCGUAAAGCGUGCGUAGGCGGUGAGUUAAGUCUGCUGUGAAAUCCCCGGGCUCAACCUGGGAAUGGCAGUGGAUACUGGCUCGCUAGAGUGUGUCAGAGGAUGGUGGAAUUCCCGGUGUAGCGGUGAAAUGCGUAGAGAUCGGGAGGAACAUCAGUGGCGAAGGCGGCCAUCUGGGACAACACUGACGCUGAGGCACGAAAGCGUGGGGAGCAAACAGGAUUAGAUACCCCGGUAGUCCCUGUCUCUUAUAC